rnacentral:lncRNA from 1 species
GUCCCUGCCAGAUGUUUUCAUUAAAUAUCAGUCCAUGUUCACGUUCUUCCCUUCACCUUUCACGAAGAAAGUCGUUCCCUUCUUUUUCCCCUACAACAAAGCCUUAAGACAAUAAUAAAUUAUACUGAACAUAUUCAGGCAUACAAGAAAUACAAUUAAAAAGAAUUCAAGUCGUGUAUCAAUCUCAGUUGGCUUUAAAAUGAUAUAAGUAACUGGGAUAUCAAUUUGAUGCCGAGAAAUGAUGUAGUGACCUGUGGAUUUCCAUUCGUCUUAGUAACUGCAAACAUGCUCGUAGUUCAGUCUUGCAUAGGUCAUCGAAAGCCAGCUUCUAAGAUGAAAUAGGUGAGAAACUUGCUGUCCAGACAGAGAGCUUCGGUCCCUACCUUCUAAGUGCAUCCUGUAGCCAAAGUACUGUGACUGGAAAUAUUCUCUGUGUGUUGCCCCGUACAGAGGUCUGGGCCCUUCAUUUGUGCAGAAGUAGCAGCAACGUUCUCUUUCAUUUCAGGUCUUUGAAAAUACCUCCGGCUCUCUUGCUGCUUUUGUCCCCAACUAACCUUUACUCCAAAGGCUCAGAUCUUUUUCCAUGCACCACCCUCUCUCUACCUGCAAAAGACUCCACUUGCACAGGCUUUAAAAAAUAAAGACUUAAAUACCAGGAAAGACAUCAUAAGAUAUCUCUGAUUAAGUGUUCAUUUUAUGAUUUAGUAAGAAUAUUUUGGUACAUUGUUUUUCAGGGGAAGAUGCAGGACAAUGAUUAAAGCGUGGCAUGCCACUGCACAGUAAACAAAUACUGUCAAGGGAGUCGAAGCUCGCUUACCUAUGGGGAGUGUGUUUUACGUUGGGAGGAAAGGUGGAAGAAACUUCAUGCAGAGAAGAGCAGGCUCUGAAACACAACAGGGAAUUGUUGAAAGGUCAGCAGACGAGGAAAUUUAAGAGUGAGCUGCCGAGGGCUCCACGUCACUGCCGUUUGAGUCACUCUAUCUAGGAGCUGCCCAUGAUAGGCAAGUUUUUCACUUUUUGUCUCACAAACGUUCAAAGGAGCAGACAGAUGUUUGGAAA